GUUUAUGAAUUAAUGGUUUUGAAAACCAUCAAAGAUACUGGGUUUAUCCAUAAAUA
rnacentral:tRNA from 1 species